rfam:Vagococcus teuberi strain DSM 21459, complete genome.
CGCGGAGUGGAGCAGCUAGGUAGCUCGUCGGGCUCAUAACCCGAAGGUCACAGGUUCAAAUCCUGUCUCCGCAA